rnacentral:rRNA from 1 species
GGGUUGUGAGGUUAAGCGACUAAGCGUACACGGUGGAUGCCCUGGCAGUCAGAGGCGAUGAAGGACGUGCUAAUCUGCGAUAAGCGUCGGUAAGGUGAUAUGAACCGUUAUAACCGGCGAUUUCCGAAUGGGGAAACCCAGUGUGAUUCGUCACACUAUCAUUAACUGAAUCCAUAGGUUAAUGAGGCGAACCGGGGGAACUGAAACAUCUAAGUACCCCGAGGAAAAGAAAUCAACCGAGAUUCCCCCAGUAGCGGCGAGCGAACGGGGAGGAGCCCAGAGCCUGAAUCAGUGUGUGUGUUAGUGGAAGCGUCUGGAAAGGCGCGCGAUACAGGGUGACAGCCCCGUACACAAAAAUGCACAUAUUGUGAGCUCGAUGAGUAGGGCGGGACACGUGGUAUCCUGUCUGAAUAUGGGGGGACCAUCCUCCAAGGCUAAAUACUCCUGACUGACCGAUAGUGAACCAGUACCGUGAGGGAAAGGCGAAAAGAACCCCGGCGAGGGGAGUGAAAAAGAACCUGAAACCGUGUACGUACAAGCAGUGGGAGCCUCUUUAUGGGGUGACUGCGUACCUUUUGUAUAAUGGGUCAGCGACUUAUAUUCUGUAGCAAGGUUAACCGAAUAGGGGAGCCGAAGGGAAACCGAGUCUUAACUGGGCGUUAAGUUGCAGGGUAUAGACCCGAAACCCGGUGAUCUAGCCAUGGGCAGGUUGAAGGUUGGGUAACACUAACUGGAGGACCGAACCGACUAAUGUUGAAAAAUUAGCGGAUGACUUGUGGCUGGGGGUGAAAGGCCAAUCAAACCGGGAGAUAGCUGGUUCUCCCCGAAAGCUAUUUAGGUAGCGCCUCGUGAAUUCAUCUCCGGGGGUAGAGCACUGUUUCGGCAAGGGGGUCAUCCCGACUUACCAACCCGAUGCAAACUGCGAAUACCGGAGAAUGUUAUCACGGGAGACACACGGCGGGUGCUAACGUCCGUCGUGAAGAGGGAAACAACCCAGACCGCCAGCUAAGGUCCCAAAGUCAUGGUUAAGUGGGAAACGAUGUGGGAAGGCCCAGACAGCCAGGAUGUUGGCUUAGAAGCAGCCAUCAUUUAAAGAAAGCGUAAUAGCUCACUGGUCGAGUCGGCCUGCGCGGAAGAUGUAACGGGGCUAAACCAUGCACCGAAGCUGCGGCAGCGACGCUUAUGCGUUGUUGGGUAGGGGAGCGUUCUGUAAGCCUGUGAAGGUGUGCUGUGAGGCAUGCUGGAGGUAUCAGAAGUGCGAAUGCUGACAUAAGUAACGAUAAAGCGGGUGAAAAGCCCGCUCGCCGGAAGACCAAGGGUUCCUGUCCAACGUUAAUCGGGGCAGGGUGAGUCGACCCCUAAGGCGAGGCCGAAAGGCGUAGUCGAUGGGAAACAGGUUAAUAUUCCUGUACUUGGUGUUACUGCGAAGGGGGGACGGAGAAGGCUAUGUUGGCCGGGCGACGGUUGUCCCGGUUUAAGCGUGUAGGCUGGUUUUCCAGGCAAAUCCGGAAAAUCAAGGCUGAGGCGUGAUGACGAGGCACUACGGUGCUGAAGCAACAAAUGCCCUGCUUCCAGGAAAAGCCUCUAAGCAUCAGGUAACAUCAAAUCGUACCCCAAACCGACACAGGUGGUCAGGUAGAGAAUACCAAGGCGCUUGAGAGAACUCGGGUGAAGGAACUAGGCAAAAUGGUGCCGUAACUUCGGGAGAAGGCACGCUGAUAUGUAGGUGAAGUCCCUCGCGGAUGGAGCUGAAAUCAGUCGAAGAUACCAGCUGGCUGCAACUGUUUAUUAAAAACACAGCACUGUGCAAACACGAAAGUGGACGUAUACGGUGUGACGCCUGCCCGGUGCCGGAAGGUUAAUUGAUGGGGUUAGCGGUAACGCGAAGCUCUUGAUCGAAGCCCCGGUAAACGGCGGCCGUAACUAUAACGGUCCUAAGGUAGCGAAAUUCCUUGUCGGGUAAGUUCCGACCUGCACGAAUGGCGUAAUGAUGGCCAGGCUGUCUCCACCCGAGACUCAGUGAAAUUGAACUCGCUGUGAAGAUGCAGUGUACCCGCGGCAAGACGGAAAGACCCCGUGAACCUUUACUAUAGCUUGACACUGAACAUUGAGCCUUGAUGUGUAGGAUAGGUGGGAGGCUUUGAAGUGUGGACGCCAGUCUGCAUGGAGCCGACCUUGAAAUACCACCCUUUAAUGUUUGAUGUUCUAACGUUGACCCGUGAUCCGGGUUGCGGACAGUGUCUGGUGGGUAGUUUGACUGGGGCGGUCUCCUCCUAAAGAGUAACGGAGGAGCACGAAGGUUGGCUAAUCCUGGUCGGACAUCAGGAGGUUAGUGCAAUGGCAUAAGCCAGCUUGACUGCGAGCGUGACGGCGCGAGCAGGUGCGAAAGCAGGUCAUAGUGAUCCGGUGGUUCUGAAUGGAAGGGCCAUCGCUCAACGGAUAAAAGGUACUCCGGGGAUAACAGGCUGAUACCGCCCAAGAGUUCAUAUCGACGGCGGUGUUUGGCACCUCGAUGUCGGCUCAUCACAUCCUGGGGCUGAAGUAGGUCCCAAGGGUAUGGCUGUUCGCCAUUUAAAGUGGUACGCGAGCUGGGUUUAGAACGUCGUGAGACAGUUCGGUCCCUAUCUGCCGUGGGCGCUGGAGAACUGAGGGGGGCUGCUCCUAGUACGAGAGGACCGGAGUGGACGCAUCACUGGUGUUCGGGUUGUCAUGCCAAUGGCACUGCCCGGUAGCUAAAUGCGGAAGAGAUAAGUGCUGAAAGCAUCUAAGCACGAAACUUGCCCCGAGAUGAGUUCUCCCUGAUCCUUUAAGGGUCCUGAAGGAACGUUGAAGACGACGACGUUGAUAGGCCGGGUGUGUAAGCGCAGCGAUGCGUUGAGCUAACCGGUACUAAUGAACCGUGAGGCUUAACCUUACAACGCCGAAGCUGUU